rnacentral:rRNA from 1 species
AUGUACAAUAUUCAAAUAGGGGAGAUUCACGAAGAAGUAUUGUGCUAUUUACGAGUCAGUGGUAUUAUUGGACUGAUCUUCUGGUGGGAAAUGUUCUUCAUUUUAGAUAAUGAAACCAUUCCAUUACUACCAAUAUUACAUCCCCUGCUUCGGCCCAAGCCUACCGGCGAUGGGCCUCGCUCCGCUCGUUCAUUAGAAGUUAGCCUUUCUCUUUAUACUUGA